AGAUGAGAAAAUGAUGAAUGCGUGGCAGAAAGUGGAUAAGAAGAGAAUAGACACCGCAGAGUAUAAAGAGAAGUCAGCUGUAAAGGAACGUAGGAAGAAAUAUAAACGGCAGAGGGCAAACAAAGCUGAUGGAUUUGUACACAAAGAGGGGAUUCAAUACAAAUCACAGGAUUUCUGGUGAUGGUGGGAAAAGUGUUCCUGC